GAUCCUGGAUCUGAAGUGGUUCUGGAUAUGGAUGGCGAGCCAGACCCUGUGAAAACUCUUGGCGAAUCCAAAAGCAGUGUGGCCAGCUGUUCUGGAUGCAGGAGUAGAUCUACAGACUGAAUUACUUCAAAUCACAGGAUUUCAGAUAAGCAAGAGCAAAAACUGCUUACUUCAUACGGAUCGUUUCUCUGGAAACUAUUGAACUCACAAUAUCCUGUUCAUCAGGAGUCAGACUGGAGCAGACGGGGAUUGAACCAGCAACUUUCUGAUUAGUAGGUUUCCUGCUCUACCUGAGCUACAGAUCCCAAUUUGUGGUGCUUUGGAAACAACACGUUCUCAUCCCAACAUGUGACAAAUCAUCGACGACCGACACGUACUUCAACCACUGCAGGUUAACCAGCCACUCAUCAGUAAAGCAAAAACUAAAGAUCUCGCAGUCUUGUUCACGAGUGAUGUAAGAAGGGAAACG